UUUAAGCAUAUUGAUUGGAAGAAAACGGUCAUUCCCUGCACAGCUCUCAUUCUGAGGGUACGUUAAGUCUAAAUGUAGUCCCUGCCCCACUGGGAGUUGGUUUAGAUGGUUUAUCUGAACGUGGGGAUUCUGCAGGGAAAGGGAGGCGAUUUCGAGACCUCAGCCCAGGGGAGUGUGGGGCGAGCUUCGUGUGCUGGAGAAAGUGUCCAGACCCGCCUUCUCUCCUCCCUGGGGAAGGUGACAGCUGAAAAGAGUCAGGUUCGCCAGUGGCAGCAGUGACCGGAGCGGGGAGCAGUGUGCUCUGACCUUCACCUGUCCUUGUGCUUGCUCCCCUCCCCGUGGAGCGGGUGGGGUGGGCUGGAGGGAAUGUUAUUUUGGGUUGAAAGUUUUUGCUACAUCUUCAGUUGUCCUUAGGGACCCAGACCCUUUUGUCCUUUAUGGUUUAGCCUUUUUAGCCAGUUCCUUAGAGUUAGGCCGGCCUUCUCUGCCCCGGGCUUUGUGCUCUUUGGACUGGAAAUUGAAUGAGAUGGGGCGAGGGCUCUUUGUGUGAAUGAAAGGGGCAGUGACAGGGAAGACAGGGGACCCAGCUUGACCCCUCGCUAGCCGCCACCAGGGCUCCCACCAGCAGGGCGGCUUUGUGCUGAGGGACAGGGCGGCUUUGUGCUGAGGGACAGGGCCCUUGGAACUGGGCGGCCAGGUGAUGCUGGGGGAGGGCAGACACUCCCACAGUCAAUGGGAACCAGCCAUGGCCAAGGUCAGCCAGCCUGUCCCUCAGAACUCGCACCUGCCUGGUGUCUCUUUUGUGUCUUCCCAGACGUGGCCGUGCUUUGGCGUCAUCGUCACAGGAGACGGGGGGUGCAUUUGAAAAGCCACAGAUGGGGUGGCCCGGCCCAGAGAUUCUGAUUUAGGUGGAAUGCGCGCGGCCGGCGCUUCCCAGAGCCCUUCAGUGGUUCUGACCCGUAGCCUGGACUGAGCGCCUCACCUGCUAGCAGGGCCACUUACGGGAGGACCACCUGCCCACAGGCCACCUGCGGGAGCUGGACCACCUGCGGGAGGCGGGCGCCCUUGUCCUCGGAGCAUCUGGUUAUCCAGGAUUUCGGGGACUUGAACUUUGCAGAGGUUCGGUGGCAUUAGGUGAUUUCAGGAGGGAUUCUGACUGCAUCUCAGGAAGAGCUUCUUUAACUCGGGAGACCCGGCCGAGACUGUGAUGAGAACUCUGAAGUCUGUGGAUGCUCCCAAGACCUCAGGGGCGUGGGUAGAAGCCUGUGGAUGCUCCUGAGACCUCAGCGGGGUGGGUAGAAGCCUGUGGAUGCUCCUGAGACCUCAGCGGGGUGGGUAGAAGCCUGUGGAUGCUCCUGAGACCUCAGAGGGGUGGGUAGAAGCCUGUGGAUGCUCCUGAGACCUCAGCGGGGUGGGUAGAAGCCUGUGGAUGCUCCUGAGACCUCAGAGGGGUGGGUAGAAGCCUGUGGAUGCUCCUGAGACCUCAGCGGGGUGGGUAGAAGCCUGUGGAUGCUCCUGAGACCUCAGAGGGGUGGGUAGAAGCCUGUGGAUGCUCCUGAGACCUCAGCGGGGUGGGUAGAAGCCUGUGGAUGCUCCUGAGACCUCAGAGGGGUGGGUAGAAGCCUGUGGAUGCUCCUGAGACCUCAGCGGGGUGGGUAGAAGCCUGUGGAUGCUCCUGAGACCUCAGAGGGGUGGGUAGAAGCCUGUGGAUGCUCCUGAGACCUCAGAGGCGUGGGUAGAAGGAGGCUGGGAGGCAGAUUGGGACGUGGCUCCUUUUAGUGCUGGUCCCAGGACGAGAAUGAGGACGGAACUUUCGGGAACAAAAAGGAGAUGGGCACCCUCGCUGCAGACGGAGCUCUUCGACGCGUGAUGAGGAGUGAGGUUCGGGAACCUUAUCAGCGACCAAGGUUUUGGUUAACAAUGAACAUUCCUUGUGUUGAUGACUCAGAGCUCCUCUGUCUCCCGAUGCCUGGCGGCCAGCGGUCCAGGGACCGUGUGCUAACUCAGCUUUUGUCGCAUGUCACUUGCAAACCAGAAAUGGUUCUGAUUUACAACCAGCAGGAGCAUUGUCUUCCUUUCGGAGAGAAUGUGACGGUUAUUGUUGAGAUGUGAACACUGCGGUGGGCAGGAUCCUCUCCCAAAAUAAAGACCCUUUAUUUUU